AAGUCGUAACAAGGUAACCGUAGGUGAACCUGCGGUUGGAUCAUUAACAAAUGAUUUUUUGGUCUUGAACCAAAACACUCUGUGCAACUACAUCUGUUUCUGGUGGUUUUUUGUGUAUUUCUCUCCCGCCCGGUGCUCCCGAAUGUCAAAUUUGUGUCGACGUUCACUCAAGCACGGGUAGAAAAUGGCAGGAGGAGAUCGCAGCCACCGAAUGACCAAUCAACUUUUGUAUUUUUUUUUGUCUGAAUCAUUCACAACUUUGUGCAAUGAAAAACAAUUUUUAACAACGGAUCUCUUGGUUCUC
rnacentral:misc_RNA from 1 species